UACGUAGGGUGCGAGCGUUAAUCGGAAUUACUGGGCGUAAAGCGUGCGCAGGCGGUUUUGUAAGCCCGAUGUGAAAGCCCCGGGCUUAACCUGGGAAUGGCAUUUGGGACUGCAAGGCUGGAGUGCGGCAGAGGAGACUGGAAUUCCCGGUGUAGCAGUGAAAUGCGUAGAUAUCGGGAGGAAUACCGAUGGCGAAGGCAGGUCUCUGGGCUGACACUGACGCUCAUGCACGAAAGCGUGGGGAGCAAACAGG
rnacentral:rRNA from 1 species